rnacentral:rRNA from 1 species
UACGGAGGGUGCAAACGUUGCUCGGAAUCAUUGGGCGUAAAGCGCACGUAGGCGGACCGCUAAGUCGGAUGUGAAAGCCCUCGGCUUAACCGAGGAAGCGCAUUCGAAACUGACGGUCUUGAGUAUGGAAGAGGGUCGCGGAAUUCCCGGUGUAGAGGUGAAAUUCGUAGAUAUCGGGAGGAACACCAGUGGCGAAGGCGGCGACCUGGGCCAAUACUGACGCUGAGGUGCGAAAGCGUGGGGAGCAAACAGG